rnacentral:rRNA from 1 species
GACGAACGCUGGCGGCGUGCUUAACACAUGCAAGUCGAACGGAAAGGCCCUGCUUUUGUGGGGUGCUCGAGUGGCGAACGGGUGAGUAACACGUGAGUAACCUGCCCUUGACUUUGGGAUAACUUCAGGAAACUGGGGCUAAUACCGGAUAGGAGCUCCUGCUGCAUGGUGGGGGUUGGAAAGUUUCGGCGGUUGGGGAUGGACUCGCGGCUUAUCAGCUUGUUGGUGGGGUAGUGGCUUACCAAGGCUUUGACGGGUAGCCGGCCUGGGAGGGUGACCGGCCACAUUGGGACUGAGAUACGGCCCAGACUCCUACGGGAGGCAGCAGUGGGGAAUAUUGCACAAUGGGCGGAAGCCUGAUGCAGCAACGCCGCGUGCGGGAUGAAGGCCUUCGGGUUGUAAACCGCUUUCGCCUGUGCCGAAGCGUGAGUGACGGUAAUGGGUAAAGAAGCACCGGCUAACUACGUG